GGGGUGCUUGUAUUUAUAGUUGAAAUCCUGCCGACACACCGAGGAAAUUCCGACGGAAUUCCGAUGCCAACGUCUAGUUCGUCGGAAUUUCCUCGGAAUUUUUAAAAUCCCCCAACGGCUCUCUAACGGCUAUAAUAUAUCCUCGGAAUUCAUCGGUUUUUUCCGAGGAAUACAAUUUUCCUCGGUAUUCCAUAAGAAUAUUCCGACGGAUUGAUAUUUCCUUGGAAUUCUGUCGGUAUAUUCUGAGGAAAUUCCGAGGAAACCAAAUUUUGUGUUUCCUCGGAAUAUCCUCGGAAAUUCCUCGGAAUAUUCCGAGGAUUUCAUUUUCCGUCGAAAUGUCCGUCAGAAUACCGUUGUUUUCUUGUAGUGUAAAAAACAAAAAAUCUAUAGGCAUAGAAAAAAUAUUCGAGAAAGAAGCUAAUCUUUGGUGAAGAAAAAUGUCCUUUUCUAAUUACAAAUAGCAACCAAAAUUGAGGUGUUAACAUAAAUAUCAAAAAUUGGGCAAGUGAUAGCGUCCAAAUUGCAUCAUCCAGAACAACUGUGCAGUUUUAAUAGUAACAAAAACAUAUAGAUAUAUAGAUAUGUAGAGAUUUUUGUUACUUUAAUUACGAUCAGCUUGUAAAUAUUCGGAGCCAUAUUCAUUUUUCUGUUGGUUUAGGUACUUGAAAUUUCAAAAACCAAUAAAAUAGGAUAUCAAAGCGAGAAGUAGUUAGUAGCGCAUUUAUUUAUAUAAAUGUCUAUUUUUAUCUUUUAAUUUCAACCACUGAAUUAAACAUGAUCUAAUUUGAUAGGUAGGACUCAUCUACAAAUUUUAGUUAUCUUAUCCUUCUCGCGUUAACCAGCGUCAUUUGAAGCUAGAGAAUCAAUUUAUUAGUCAAUAAAAUUCAAGAUGAAAAAAAAAGUAUUAAAAUAGUAGAAAUAUAUUUUAAAUAUUUAAAUUGUUCACAACUAAAAAUAAUAUAAACUUUCAUUAUCUUAUUAUUUUUUACUAUUUUAUACUAUUUCAUUUACGAAUUAUAUAUUUAUUUUACAAUUAAAAUCAUAACAUAACCAAAUAAGAAGAUGAAACUAUAGCACAAAUAUAUAAUCUAAACCAAAAACCUCCACAAUCACAGAGAAGCAAAAAUGCCAUAGUAAUACAAUAAAGGCCUGGAACUGAAAGUCAAGAACGAAGACUAACUUACCUCACCUUACCAUAGAUUGUCUUGACUAGAACAAGCAGAUAUCAUAAAAAGGGUAGAAAGAUAAAUUUGAGACAUGCCAUCAAUCACCAAUGCAAAAAAAACAAGAAAACAGAUUAUAGGAAGAAUAACACCUGAAGGCCAAGGUCACCACGAAGGAGGAAGACACGCGCCUAAAGCACCGGAAGCACAACCACCAGCUAAAAGGUAAGAAGCACCGUAUAAACUAAAUAAUCACAGAGAAGCACUAGUAGAAAUAUUGGCUAUAGCUACGACAUAGCUACGAAAUUUUCGUAGCAAAUUCUAAAAAAGCUAUGAAAAAGCUACGAAAUCAAAAACGUAGCUUUUCGUGUGUUAAUCGUAGCAAAAAAGCUACGAAAUUGCUACGGAAAAAAACAUAGCAAGAUAUAGCUAUGAUUUUGCUACGAAGAUUUCGUGGCAAAAUAGAUACGAAACAAACCGUAGCAAAAAUCAUGACUAACUAUAAAAAAAAUAUCUUUUAGCUACGAUUUUUGCCACUAAAAAAUUCAUAGCUAUUUAAAACCCUAUACCCUAAACAUGUUUUUAACCCCAUAAACUCUAAAAGUAAAUCUUAAAUUCUAAUCCUCAUAUUAUAUCUCAAAAUCUUAAACCUAAACUCAAAUUUAAUUACUUUAAAAAUCUAAUAUCAAAUUUUAAAUCAAAACUCAAACACUAUAUUUCAAACUCUAAACUCUAUAUAUUACUCUAUAUUCCAAAUCAUGAAUCUAAACACUAAAUAUACUUUUUCAAAGUUAAACAACAAAUCUAAAACUAAAACUCAAAAGUUAAUCUUUUUAAAAAAAAAUUAAUUCCAAAAUUUAAAUCUAAACUUCAAACACUACACUCCAAACCUUACACUCUAACCCUAAACCUUAUACCCCAAAUCAUAAAACCCAAAUACUAAUUUUAACAUUUCAAAUUUAAACAUCAAAACUUAAACAUAAACUACUAAUCUAAAAUUUUCAAAUUCUAAAUUACAAAUCAUUGAAUCAUACUUGUAUAGUUAAAAUAGUUUAAUCUUACCAUUUACAUUUAAUAACUUUAACAUUUACUAUGAACCAUAAUUUUAAAUUUUAAUUCUAAGCUCUAUCUAUCUAAACUGUAAACUCCAUUCACUAAACUAUAAACACUAAUCAUGAAAAUAACUAUUAACCAUUAUAUUUUUAUUUUUAACUAAAUAUAAAAUAUAAAACCAAAACUUUAUAUUCCAAGUCUUGUUAAAUAUGGAGAUGGCUAAAGUUUUUUGGAUUAACAUAUUAAUGUACUGCCUUAUUCAAAUCCAGACAAUUUAAUAAUAUAAAUUUCUUUAACUUAUCUUAUCCUCUAACUUUCUUCUCAUUGGUCCAAAUGUUAUGGCAAGGAUCAUCAUCUCAACUAUUGAUAAAUUUAAAUCAAUGGCCACACUUCACUAUUGCUUUCAUUUUCUUUUCUUCUCUUUUCGUUUCAGAUCUGAGACAUUCAUUAUCCCAAGUCCCAACCAUCUCUCUUUGUGCACAUCUUCUGUUCUUCUUUUCUCUACGCCAUUACAAUGUCUUCAUCUCUUUCUUCUAUUCGUCUCCUCCUCUGCCUCUCUCAUCCGUGAAGUCACCAAGAAUCGUGAGGCCUCAUCUCCUCCUCUAUCUCUAUCCUCCGUGAAGUCACCGUGACGCCUCUUUCCUCCAUGACAUCUCUUCUUCAUGACGCCUCUUUUCUUCCUCUGUCGCUCUCCGUGAAGUCUCCACCCCGAGAAUCUGGGAAUGCUUAGAGAAGACAGAAAAAAGUGGCGUCGGAAAAGACCGAGGAGAAGACGACAGGAGCUACGCCGGAUAUGGUCGAGGAGCUGGCCGGAGAGAAGAGAAACGAAGAGGAUUGGACGGACAUUAGGUUUAAUUUGGCUUUAGCCUUUUUGGUUUAGUUUCUUAAACCACUUUAAUUUGUAAAUGUAAAUCGAUUUAAUUUGUAUAUCAAUUCUCGUUUAAUAUUUUUACACUAGAUUUUCACCCGCACAACCGUGCGGGUAUAUAUUUUAAUAUUUAUAUAUAUAGAUAUUUGUUUUA